UACGUAGGGGGCAAGCGUUGUCCGGAUUUAUUGGGCGUAAAGAGCGUGUCGGCGGCUAGGUAGGUCCGUUGUGAAAACUCGAGGCUCAACCUCGAGACGCCGAUGGAAACCAUCUAGCUAGAGUCCGGAAGAGGAGAGUGGAAUUCCUGGUGUAGCGGUGAAAUGCGCAGAUAUCAGGAAGAACACCCGUGGCUAAGGCGGCUCUCUAGUACGGUACUGACGCUGAGACGCGAAAGCGUGGGGAGCGAACAGG
rnacentral:rRNA from 1 species